GACGAACGCUGGCGGCGUGCUUAACACAUGCAAGUCGAACGGAAAGGCCCUUGCUUGCAGGGGUACUCGAGUGGCGAACGGGUGAGUAACACGUGGGUGAUCUGCUGCGCACUUCGGGAUAAGCCUGGGACACUGGCUCUAAUACCGGAUAGGCCAGUGUUUUGGUUGUGAUUGUGGAGAGUUUUUUCUGUAUGGGAUGAGCUCGGGGUCUAACAGCUUGUUGGGGGGGAAAUGGUCUACCAACGGGGCGCCGGGUCGCCGGCCUGGGGGGGGGGACGGGCACAUUGGGACUGAGGUACGGCCCAGACUCCUACGGGGGGCAACAGGGGGGAAUAUUGCACAAUGGGGGCGAGCCUGAUGCAGCGGAGCCGGGUGGGGGAAGACGGCCUUUGGGUUGUAAACUCCCUUCGCUUAGGAAGGAACGUUAUGUGACGGUACCUAGAGAAGAAGCACCGGCUAACUACGUG
rnacentral:rRNA from 1 species